rnacentral:sRNA from 1 species
AGGGCGGGCCUUUCAGGCAUCCUCUCCUAUAAACUUUCAUGGGCCGGUCCUCGCGAUCGGCCCUUUUUUUAUGCCUGC